GACAGGCUGCCAUACUGCAGGGAGACACAGCACUUUCACCAGCAGCCCGUGUGAUCCGUAUGAUUCCUGGGUGCGAGACAUGACUGGCUCAACGUGGUUUGCUGUCGCAGAGUUUGGUAAUUAUUCUGGAUCAAGCAGAUUCUUUCCCAUACGUUCAGAUGAACUAAUGUUUAUGGAUUCUGUGACGGCCUCAACAUUACAGACAGCGACUCUCAGUAUCCCGAAUAUAUCAGGAUCAGCUGCUCCGCAUAUGGCUCACCCCUUACAAGUUCAUCGUACACUAAACCCAUGUAGAUAUGCAUCAUCUACAGCCUAAUAGAUGGGCAUUAACUGAAGGGAAAACUAAUUACUAGAGGUUGUGAUACACUUAACAUACACAAGUGGAACCCCUUACCAGGACAUGACAAAUACUCGCAAUUGCAUCAGCGCAACGCCUGGACCUGACAGCCUUGUCAUUUCCGACCCGCAAAAUCGUCACCACUGUCAUCAAACACCUGACAAAGACUCAAUGGGACACAGACCAUCCAGGUAUAAGUUACACGCAGAUGGCUGAUGUAUAUACAGGAGACAGAGCCUGGUGCCACGAUGACGCAAAUAACUUCUGUGCAAAUUGGUGGUUACGCCCUAGAGGAAAUUAGUCUCUUCGUAGAACAAAACAUUUUUUAAAUACGCUAUAGGCUUAUAAGGCAUCCUAAUGGCAAUCACAGUAACCAUUGUUGAUUUAUACGGGGACACCAUAGAUUGUAAGCUUGUGAGCAGGGCCUUCCUACCUAUGACUGUUUAUUACCCAGUUUUGUCUGAUCAUUGUGUCUAGUUGUAAAGCACAAUGGAGUUUGCUGCACUAUAUAAGAAACUGAUAAUAAAUAAAAUAGGCUGAGGUUCGGAACCACAAUGGACAAAUUAUCCAUUACAUUAUAGGGCCCACGGAAGCCAAUGACUAACCCCAACCCGUCAUAAGUAGUCAAACUGUAACACUGCCGCAGCUGGCUCAACAUGACUAAAACUAUCAGACUGUUGUGAGCAAAGCGGGAUAUAAACAUUUUAUGUCGAAUAAGAAGGCUUGAAGAUAUUACAUAGGUGGUGAUCACAGUACACCUGAUAAAUAAACAGAAACGCAAGCACAACGGUGGCCACAGAAGAAGCACCCAUAGGUGCUCAGAGCAACCCCGGCUCCAAGUGAACUGCCUGCAUGCAAUGUAUAUUUACCCAUACGUGAGAGUACACAGUCCGUCGCCAGGCAGUCCCCAUUCAGACACAGCCAUCUUGGUUUUUAGAAUACACUGAUCCCUUUGAAUGACGUUUCCUAAUUUUGAAGCCUCUGAAUUUUGUCAUUUGCAUUUUGUCAACUUGGAUGAGGCUGCGCUGAUUUACGGGCGGUGUACAGGCUCUAUGCGAUGCUGUAUAGAAUCUGCUUUGUAGUGACCUGUUGGGUGUGGACCCCAGGGAUCGGGUGCAGUUAAGGUUAAAGUGUGGUGGGUAUAGAAUCUGCUCAGUAGUGCCCUGUUGGGUGUGGACCCCAGGGAUCGGGUGCAGUUAAGGUUCUAGUGUGGUGGGUAUAGAAUCUGCUCAGUAGUGCCCUGUUGGGUGUGGACCCCAGGGAUCGGGUGCAGUUAAGGUUAAAGUGUGGUGGGUAUAGAAUCUGCUCAGUAGUGACCUGUUGGGUGUGGACCCCAGGGAUCGGGUGCAGGUAAGGUUAUAGUGUGGUGGGUUAUGUCAUCCUAUCUGUUUGCGCAGUAAGACAUGUUAAUCUUAUGACGUAUGUGGCCGGGGUGAUUGGUAGUAGUGGUUAGUGGUCACAGGUCAUAUCUUGAUUGUCCCUAAAGCAACUAUUGCCCAAUGCUGGAAGCUUCAUUAACCCCUCUUCUUAAGAAAAAUUGUGCCUAUAAUGUAACUUGCUGUUGUCAUGGAGACUUAUUUCAGACAUCUUUCACCCCUGUACCCUUACCUAUUAUAAAGUGGUUUAAUUGGCUGUAUCAAACUUUUGAGCGAUAAAAUGGAGAAGUUGUCUAUAUAAAAUUGUCUGUGAUAUGUCUGCAGUUUUAAUGGCACUACCUACAACUGCUCCCCCCACCCCACGCUAAAGGCCCCUGGAUGUCAAUCACUUUGCAAUGAAAUCCUCACUGUGAGCGACUGUCUAAUGGAACCUUGGCGCAUGCGCGGUGCAAUCACAAUGUAUGCCUAGCUGAUCGCUAAUUGCUCAACCGCACAAAUAUCAGCAUUUUGUACAUCUUUGAAUGAGGCCUCCUUUUUUUUUUUUUUUUUUUUUUUUACACCGCAGUGGACUAAAGUUGAUUAGGCCCAAAGCCUGCCAGGAUUUAUGGUUAUGGGAAGCCUUUAUAUACUAUACUAUAUAGCGUCGCUGUGUACGGCCAUGUACUGAUCUUCAUAUUUCCAGGUGCAUGCACCACAUCACAAGACACAGACUAAUUACUCAACAUCCGCCAUACAGAGUAUAAUGUACAUAACGCAGAAGGAGGAUAACGCAAGCUUUGCAGGGGGAGGGGUGAGAGUCAAGAUGGUGACUAACAGCGCACUGCGGCGUACCAAUUCCAAGGUUGUUUUAAUCACGGCUGCAAUGCUUGUUACAGUUUUUUUUAAAGUACAUUUGGGUCAUAUUAAUUAAUAGAACCACCAAUUCUAUUAACUUGUCACUACAAGUACCAGCAUGGAUGCACUUCAGACUUCUUGAAUUGUUAUGGUCUCCGUUAACAUCUCUGCAUAAUUUUAAACAUUUGCCUUUUUUUUA